UACGAAGGGGGCUAGCGUUGCUCGGAUUGACUGGGCGUAAAGGGCGCGUAGGCGGUUCGUACAGUCAGACGUGAAAUUCCUGGGCUCAACCCGGGGGCUGCGUUUGAUACGUGCGGACUUGAGUGCGGAAGAGGGUCGUGGAAUUCCCAGUGUAGAGGUGAAAUUCGUAGAUAUUGGGAAGAACACCGGUGGCGAAGGCGGCGACCUGGUCCGAUACUGACGCUGAGGCGCGAAAGCUAGGGGAGCAAACAGG
rnacentral:rRNA from 1 species